rnacentral:rRNA from 1 species
UACGUAGGGUCCGAGCGUUGUCCGGAAUUAUUGGGCGGAAAGAGCUCGUAGGCGGUUUGUCGCGUCGAAUGUGAAAACCCGGGGCUCAACCCCGGGCCUGCAUUCGAUACGGGCAGACUAGAGUUCGGUAGGGGAGUCUGGAAUUCCUGGUGUAGCGGUGAAAUGCGCAGAUAUCAGGAGGAACACCGGUGGCGAAGGCGGGACUCUGGGCCGAUACUGACGCUGAGGAGCGAAAGCGUGGGGAGCGAACAGG